rnacentral:lncRNA from 1 species
GUUGAUUUUUUUUUUUUACUACAAUUCCUGUAUUGGACAGUGAUAGGGGCUGAAUUAGGCCCCACCCAAAUUCAUAUGCUGAAGUCCUAAGCCCCAGUCCUUUGGAAUGUGACUCUAUUUGAAGACAAGGUUUUUACAAAGGUAAUCAAGUUAAAAUGAGGUUGCCAGGGUGGGCGCUAAUUCAGUAAGACUGAUAUCUCUACAAGAAGAGUUAGGACACAGGGACAGAGAGAACUUGUGAAGACACAACUAGAAGGUCACCAUCUGUAAGCUGAGGACAGAGGCCUCAGAAGAAACCAACCCUGUGGACACAUCCAUCUCUCUGACUUCUAGCAUUUAGAAUUGUGAGAAAAUACAUUUCUGUUUUUUAAGCCACCCAGCUUGUGGUACUUGGUAGUGGCAGACGCAGCAAACUAAUACAGAUGGCCAUUCUAAGUGUUUCUCUCUAGAAAGCCGCAGAACAUAAAACACACAUCUGGUCUUCUGACUCCAAGAUGCUGGGGGUAAUUUCAGUAAAUAAAACUUUGCUCUAGAAAAGGCUUUGUAUUUUCAUUACCUGCCAUAUUAGGGUUUUCAUGGAGAGCAGGGACAAAGGCCAAACCUAUAUAAACUCAGAUUAAAUCCUUCAAGGGGUUGUUAUAAAUUCAUCACUUUUGGGUUCCAAGGAAUUCUCAAUCCCUUCUCUCCUGCAGCCCUGAAGAGCAAGAUCUGUAGCCUUCCAUGGGCGGCAUCUGUUGCUCCUCUGUGUGCUCAGCCUCAAGGCUACAUGCCCUGCUUGUUUCAGCCCAGACCCUCAGCUCAUUGGGCUACACAGUAUGAAGCUCGCUUCUCUUCUCUGCCCCAAACUCAUUUGAAACCACAGAAACCACAUGAAAAAUGGAGUCUGCCUACCUCUAAUCUAUGGAUCUCAGGCUUUUCCUUCCACAAUGAUUCACCAUCAAUGGCUAUGGAAGCCACAGCAGCAAUAAAGGACUCUUGUAUUGAUCCACUUUGAAAUUAUAGAGGAAAACAAAUUACCUUGAGGUUCUUUAUUGGCAGCGAGUGUUAGGUCCAGACAGAUUCCAGAAAAAUUUAGCUUUUAAGGUUUAAUUCAAAGGUCCCUUGCAAACUAUGGAUACAGGAAAAUGAAUCAUUUCAUAUUAGGGGAUGGGGUAAUAAUGAUGAUAAAUGCCUUUUUGAAAGCUUUGUCUUCUAAGCAUAAGCCUUUCUCUAAUAGUUCUUCAGAGCUGAUUAGAAGCUUUAAAAGUCCCAUUUAGGUCAAGGGCUGGUAAUUCCUAGUUUCUCUUUGGUGGAAAUAAUUGGCUUGAUAAUAUCCAAAUAAUAUUUAAUAAUUGAAUAAUAUUCAUUCUAUGUGAUUAUACUAUGUACAUGUUAAUUGGAUG